UACGGAGGGUGCGAGCGUUGUCCGGAAUCACUGGGCGUAAAGGGCGCGUAGGUGGCGCGAGGAGUCUGUGGUGAAGGCCCGAGGCUCAACUUCGGGUCGGCCGCGGAUACUCUCGUGCUGGAGGGUGGUAGAGGCCAAUGGAAUUCCGGGUGUAGCGGUGGAAUGCGUAGAGAUCCGGAAGAACACCGGUGGCGAAGGCGGUUGGCUGGGCCACACCUGACACUGAGGCGCGACAGCGUGGGGAGCAAACAGG
rnacentral:rRNA from 1 species